UAGGAAAGCGCCUAGAGUUUCUCCAUAA
rnacentral:piRNA from 1 species